AGGUGGCAACGCUGCCGACGCUGCAGUGGCUGCAGCGGCUGUGCUUCAGGUUCUGCAGCCUUACGCCUCGGGAAUCGGCGGAGAUUGCUUCUGCAUAUUCUACAAUGCAAGUGACAAGUCUGUUCGAAGCAUCGAUGGCAGCGGAAAGAGUCCAGAAUCUGACUUUGGAGCUGCUCCGCUCAAGGGGAUUCGACGAGAAACGCCUUCCUGAUGACAGCAGCGGUCUUUCGGCUACAGUCCCCGGAACCGUCAAAGGAUGGUUGGACACAGUGGAGAACUUCGGAAGUAAAAAGUGAUGGCCUUACUCCGGAAGAAGGCCUGCCGCCAGAGGUCGUUCAGGAGCUGAAGAAGAGAGGUCACCGUCUUCUGGGCACUCUCAAGGGCGCGUUGAGACGUAGAACGGGCUUCGCCCACGUCGUCACCAGGGGGAGCUGGUGGAACCGAUCGGGAGGCUCUCCAAACUACACCAAGGGUCGCGCCACUUUCCUCUGGUUCGGAAGCGAUCCCCGCGUCGAUGCGGCAGCCAUGGCGUACUAAGGUUCCGUUAAAAAUCUAUUUUCUACGAGGCAUCCGAUCAC